rnacentral:rRNA from 1 species
GACGAACGCUGGCGGCGCGCUUAACACAUGCAAGUCGAGCGAAGCGGCGGACGGGUGAGUAACACGUGAGUAACCUGCCUUAGACCUUGGGAUAGCCUCGGGAAACCGGGAUUAAUCCCAAAUGGGCUAAGGUGGACUCGCGUCCCAUUAGCUAGGUGGUGAGGUACCGGCACACCAAGGCGACGAUGGGUACCCGGCCUGAGAGGUUGAACGGCCACAUUGGAACUUAGAACCGGUCCAAACUCUACGGGAGGCAGCAGUGGUGAAUAUUGCACAAUGGAGGGAACUCUGAUGCAGCGACGCCGGGUGAACGAAGAAGGCUUUCGAGUCGUAAAGUUCUUUUAUAUGGGAAGCGGGACCAUAAGAAAAAGCCCCGGCUAACUACGUGCCAGCAGCCGCGGUAAUAC